GCAGGCUGCAACUCGCCUGCAUGAAGCUGGAUUCGCUAGUAAUCGCGCAUCAGCCAUGGCGCGGUGAAUACGUUCCCGGGCCUUGUACACACCGCCCGUCAAGCCAUGGGAGCCGGGGGUGCCUGAAGUACGUGACCGCGAGGAGCGUCCUAGGGCAAAACUGGUGACUGGGGCUAAGUCGUAACAAGGUAAC
rnacentral:rRNA from 1 species